CGCCGCUAACGGCCCCGUUGCGUCCCCAGACCACCAGAAGCUGGAGCGCGAGGCCCGGAUCUGCCGUCUCCUGAAGCACUCCAACAUCGUGCGGCUCCACGACAGCAUCUCCGAGGAGGGUUUCCACUACCUCGUGUGACCUGGUGACCGGCGGGGAGCUCUUC